UCUAGAAUCACUUUACAGAGAGACUCAGGGAGGAGCUGAGCUGUUACUGAACUAUAGAAGAGAGAGGAACUUCUAUAUUCAACAGAGUUCAAUACACAAACCAUCAACAUUACCUUUAUUCAACAUGCUGUCACUGCAGCAUUGUGUGUUUUCUCUGAUGUUCCUUUCCAUUCUAACAGGUAUCAGCUGUGAAGAUCUCACUCCAGUCGAGAAAGAAGAGAACAGUUUAGAAGGCAGCUCUGUUACUCUGUCCUACAGAUACUCCAAACAAGUGGAUAACAAUGAUUAUUUCUUCUGGUAUCGACAAUAUCCAGGAAACCCACCAGAGUUCCUCAUCUUUCACUUUGGAACGCAAAGUGCAACAAACUCUGGACUGUCUGUUUCUGUAAGUGAGGAUAAAACCAAAAUGGUUCUUCAGAUCUCCUCUGCUGCAGUGACAGACUCUGCUCUGUACUACUGUGCUGUGAGGCCCACAGUGACAGCAAACCCACAGUCUCUGUACAAAAACACAAGCUGACACACUGACAAGCUGCUGGAAGACUUUUUUCCACAAUUUUGUAAUGAACUUUGUACCUCCACUAGAGGGCGACAUUAUCAAGUAGGCGGUGCACUACUUCUGCACUGUGUUCAACCAUUCAGUCAAUAAUAAGUGCUGCUGUGAAGAGAACAAUUCUCAGACUGAAUGUUGAACAUCAGCUAGUUUCUCCUGUUGAUUUAAACCUUGUUAUAGAGAUGGGACAUUGGCUGUGGAUUAUUCUUGCUGUUCUUUUCUUUGAGUGUAAAGGAGAAGACAGAGUGAUCCAGCCAACAGGAGAUGUCAUUACUACUGAAGGAGAGACAGUUACUCUUGACUGUACAUUUGAGACAACUGCUUCCUAUUCUUAUUUGUUGUGGUACAAACAAGAAGUAAAUGGCUUUCCAAAGUUUAUGCUACAAAUCUACUCUGGAGCAAAAGAUGCUGAAAACUUUCAGAAAGAAAGAAUUUAUGCUACACUCAAGGAUAAGUCCUUUCCUCUGAAGAUCCAGAAGCUUCAGCUGUCUGACUCUGCUGUGUACU